GCCCAAUCAGCAGAUGCCAAGAUUCGGACUGAGGCAGAAUCUAAUCUUAGUCAGUUCCGAGAGCAAAACCUUCCAGGGUUUUUUCUUUCACUAGCUGUUGAGCUCUCAAAUGAUGGGAAGCCUACAGAAUCUCGUAGGCUAGCUGGUAUUGUGCUUAAAAACUCACUGGAUGCUAAAGAAACUGUCAGGAAACAACAGCUUGUUCAACAGUGGCUGACAAUUGAUUCAUCUUGCAAGUCUCAAAUUAAAAGCUUGCUUCUAAGCUGCCUUGGAUCAUCUGUACGCGAGGCAAGUCACACUGCUUCCCAAGUGAUUGCUAAAAUAGCUUCCAUUGAAGUUCCUCAGAAACAAUGGCCAGAGCUCAUUGGUUCAUUGCUUGUUAACAUGACACAACAAGGAAGUCCUGCAUCCGUGAAACAGGCAACCUUGGAGACACUUGGUUAUGUGUGUGAGGAGAUA
rnacentral:misc_RNA from 1 species